GGAUGACCUCGGAUCAGGUAGGGAUACCCGCUGAACUUAAGCAUAUCAAUAAGCGGAGGAAAAGAAACCAACAGGGAUUACCUCCAAAAGGCGAUAGAAACGGCAAAAGGGGAGUUCAAAGUCGUAACAAGGGAAUGGAACAGUGUAGCGGCAUGAAAGUAAAACCAGG
rnacentral:rRNA from 1 species